CAAGCCGUAGCAGUUUCUAACACAUGGCUAACCUUCUUGAAAUUCAACACAAUGGUCAACGAAUCUGCCAAUAAACCUGUUCAGGUGGCUCCUCGCUUACUCCCGAAGCACCCAGAGGUGUUAAACCCUCAGAAUUCCACUGACCACAAACAGUCUGUAUUUUUUACAAUGGGAUAGAUUGUACGUGGCAAGUCCAUGUCUCAGCUUUCUGAAGAGAUAUCAAGCUAAAACCUGAUUUCCCAUGCUAGUCUGGACACGUGCUACCCCUGUGGUGAGUUUCAAUAAGAUUGGAGAAACUUGAAAUCUCGGCUCAAAAAAACUAAAAGUUUCAAGAAGAUUGGAGAAACUCGAAAAUUUGACCAACAAAAAUCACCAAGAGAAAUUUUCGAGUUUCUCCUGAGUUCUUGGAACUUUUGGUUUGUUAGUUUGAGACUAGCACAGGAAGGCAGGUUUCGGCUUGAUAUCAAGCUGCAAGUGUUUAAUUCCGAGGUAAGUUAAGGGUAGCGUUUCAGGAAACUCUGCAUAGACUGCCAGGCCGAAUGAACUCUGUCCUCUUGUGCGUGGGAAUUACGCCGAUUGUCUAUUUGCUUUCGGGCACAUCACACUAUAAAUAUUCGCGCAAAAGGCACUCUAGCGCUAGACUGUGGAGUUUCUGUAGUGUAGUGGUCAUCACGUUCGCCUAACACGCGAAAGGUCCUCGGUUCGAAACCGAGCAGAAACAGCUGUCCCCUUUUGAAGAAAUGUAUGAACCCCUUUGAGCCGGCAGUUGGCUUCAGAAGGUUUAGCCUUUAUGCGCAUUUUGCUGAGCCUGCACACAAUGAUUUCGGACUUGCUUAGGAAGUGGGUUUCCGUAGUGUAGUGGUUAUCACGUUUGCCUCACACGCG